UGGAGGACUGAAGUGGAGAAGGGUUUCGUGUGAACAGUGGUUGAUCACGAGUUAGUCGGUCCUAAGUUCAAGGCGAAAGCCGAAAAUUUUCAAGUUUUAAAAAUGUCAAAUGAAAUAAUAAAUAAUAAAACACUUGAAUAAUUUUGAACGAAAGGGAAUACGGUUCCAAUUCCGUAACCUGUUGAGUAUCCGUUUGUUAUUAAAUAUGGGCCUCGUGCUCAUCCUGGCAACAGGAACGACCAUAAAGAAGCCGUCGAGAGGUAUCGGAAGAGUUUUCUUUUCUGUUUUAUAGCCGUACUACCAUGGAAGUCUUUCGCAGAGAGAUAUGGUAGAUGGGCUAGAAGAGCAUGACAUAUACUGUUGUGUCGAUAUUUUCUCCUCGGACCUUGAAAAUUUAUGGUGGGGAUACGCAAACUUCUCAACAGGCCGUACCAAUAUCCGCAGCUGGUCUCCAAGGUGAAGAGUCUCUAGUCGAUAGAAUAAUGUAGGUAAGGGAAGUCGGCAAAUUAGAUCCGUAACUUCGGGAUAAGGAUUGGCUCUGAAGAUUGAGAUAGUCGGGCUUGAUUGGGAAACAAUAACAUGGUUUAUGUGCUCGUUCUGGGUAAAUAGAGUUUCUAUCAUUUAUGAUAGUUAUUUGUUCCCCGGAUAGUUAGUUACGUAGCCAAUUGUGGAACUUUCUUGCUAAAAUUUUUAAGAAUACUAAUUUUUAAUUAGUUCUUUUAAAUUAUAACGAUUAUCAAUUAACAAUCAAUUCAGAACUGGCACGGACUUGGGGAAUCCGACUGUCUAAUUAAAACAAAGCAUUGUGAUGGCCCUAGCGGGUGUUGACACAAUGUGAUUUCUGCCCAGUGCUCUGAAUGUCAAAGUGAAGAAAUUCAAGUAAGCGCGGGUCAACGGCGGGAGUAACUAUGACUCUCUUAAGGUCUAGGAUUACGUCCGCCUACGACCCCAGCGAACCAAGCAGAACUGAAAAUUUGAGUACACUUUUAAAUUGGAGCAAAAUCCAACAUAAAUGAUAUAUGAUUUGACACAUUCUAAUCUUGGGGUUACAAACAAAUUAACCAAAGGCGCUUGCUGCCUCAGCAUGACAUCUAAAAGAAGGCAUAAACAUCGUAUGGCUAAAAAGAGGAGGUUUUAGUACGUAGGCGCUGUGGAACUUUAUAGUUCUGAUGAUGCAGUGAAUCGUGCAUGCGGCAAUUCACCCGUAGUAAGGUGACCGUAUCUUUCGAAGAUUUCCUCCCUCUGCGAUCAAAAAAAAAAAAAAAAAAAAUAGCCAAAUGCCUCGUCAUCUAAUUAGUGACGCGCAUGAAUGGAUUAACGAGAUUCCUACUGUCCCUAUCUACUACCAGUCUUGUUUGGACUGUCGUUGCGUGCGGUUGUGUCGCGGUCGU
rnacentral:ncRNA from 1 species